GACGAACGCUGGCGGCGUGCUUAACACAUGCAAGUCGAACGGAAAGGCCCUGCUUUUGUGGGGUGCUCGAGUGGCGAACGGGUGAGUAACACGUGAGUAACCUGCCCUUGACUUUGGGAUAACUUCAGGAAACUGGGGCUAAUACCGGAUAGGAGCUCCUGCUGCAUGGUGGGGGUUGGAAAGUUUCGGCGGUCGGGGAUGGACUCGCGGCUUAUCAGCUUGUUGGUGGGGUAGGGGCUUACCAAGGCUUUGACGGGUAGCCGGCCUGAGAGGGUGACCGGCCACAUUGGGACUGAGGUACGGCCCAGACUCCUACGGGAGGCAGCAGUGGGGAAUAUUGCACAAUGGGCGGAAGCCUGAUGCAGCAACGCCGCGUGCGGGAUGACGGCCUUCGGGUUGUAAACCGCUUUCGCCUGUGACGACGCGUGAGUGACGGUAAUGGGUAAAGAAGCACCGGCUAACUACGUG
rnacentral:rRNA from 1 species